rnacentral:rRNA from 1 species
AGUGAACGCUGGCGGUAGGCCUAACACAUGCAAGUCGAACGGCAGCACAGUAAGAGCUUGCUCUUACGGGUGGCGAGUGGCGUACGGGUGAGGAAUACAUCGUACUCUACUUUUUCGUGUGGGUUAACGUAGGUAAACUUACUCUAAUACCGCAUACCACCUACGGGUGAAAGCAUGGGAUCUUCGCACCUGUUGGGAUUGAAUUCGCGGAUGUUGGAUUAGUUGGUUGGCGGGUUAAUGGCCAACGCUGUCGAGGAUCGGUAGCUGGUGUGAGAGAAUGAUAGGCCACACGGGAAGGGAGACACGGUCAAGAGUCCUACGGGAGGCAGCAGUGGGGAAUAGUGGACAAUGGGCGCAAGCAUGAUACAGCCAGACCGAGUGGGUGAAAAAGGCCUUCGGGUUGUAAAGACCUUUUGUUGGGAGAGAAAAGCAGCAGGUUAAUACCAAGCUGUUCUGACGGUACCCAAAGAAUAAGCACCGGCUAACUUCGUG